rnacentral:rRNA from 1 species
UUUAUGGAGAGUUUGAUCCUGGCUCAGGAUGAACGCUGGCGGCGUGCCUAAUACAUGCAAGUCGAGCGAACGGACGAGAAGCUUGCUUCUCUGAUGUUAGCGGCGGACGGGUGAGUAACACGUGGAUAACCUACCUAUAAGACUGGGAUAACUUCGGGAAACCGGAGCUAAUACCGGAUAAUAUUUUGAACCGCAUGAUUCAAAAGUGAAAGACGGUCUUGCUGUCACUUAUAGAUGGAUCCGCGCUGCAUUAGCUAGUUGGUAAGGUAACGGCUUACCAAGGCAACGAUGCAUAGCCGACCUGAGAGGGUGAUCGGCCACACUGGAACUGAGACACGGUCCAGACUCCUACGGGAGGCAGCAGUAGGGAAUCUUCCGCAAUGGGCGAAAGCCUGACGGAGCAACGCCGCGUGAGUGAUGAAGGUCUUCGGAUCGUAAAACUCUGUUAUUAGGGAAGAACAUAUGUGUAAGUAACUGUGCACAUCUUGACGGUACCUAAUCAGAAAGCCACGGCUAACUACGUGCCAGCAGCCGCGGUAAUACGUAGGUGGCAAGCGUUAUCCGGAAUUAUUGGGCGUAAAGCGCGCGUAGGCGGUUUUUUAAGUCUGAUGUGAAAGCCCACGGCUCAACCGUGGAGGGUCAUUGGAAACUGGAAAACUUGAGUGCAGAAGAGGAAAGUGGAAUUCCAUGUGUAGCGGUGAAAUGCGCAGAGAUAUGGAGGAACACCAGUGGCGAAGGCGACUUUCUGGUCUGUAACUGACGCUGAUGUGCGAAAGCGUGGGGAUCAAACAGGAUUAGAUACCCUGGUAGUCCACGCCGUAAACGAUGAGUGCUAAGUGUUAGGGGGUUUCCGCCCCUUAGUGCUGCAGCUAACGCAUUAAGCACUCCGCCUGGGGAGUACGACCGCAAGGUUGAAACUCAAAGGAAUUGACGGGGACCCGCACAAGCGGUGGAGCAUGUGGUUUAAUUCGAAGCAACGCGAAGAACCUUACCAAAUCUUGACAUCCUU